UCCUUGGUGGCUCAGUGGUAAAGCGUCUGCCUGCCAAUGCAGGAGGCGCAGGUUCAAUCCCUGAUCGAGGAA